CGUCGUAGUCUUAACUAUAAACUAUGCCGACUAGGGAUCGGACGAUGUUAUUCUUUGACGCGUUCGGCACCUUUCGAGAAAUCAAAGUGCUUGGGCUCCAGGGGGAGUAUGGUCGCAAGGCUGAAACUUAAAGAAAUUGACGGAAGGGCACCACCAGGGGUGGAACCUGCGGCUUAAUUUGACUCAACACGGGGAAACUCACCAGGUCCAGACACAGUGAGGAUUGACAGAUUGAGAGCUCUUUCUUGAUUCUGUGGGUCGUUCUUAGUUGGUGGAGUGAUUUAUCUGCUUAAUUGCGAUAACGAACGAGACCUUAACCU
rnacentral:rRNA from 1 species